GUAACACUCGAGUAGAGGACUUGUGAAUAUUGCAACUGUCAAAUAAAUGAACUAAUUCAACCGCAUUUUGAAGAAUAUACAAAGUGUUUCGAAGCGACUCAGAAGGAGCUAAAAGAUGACAGAGAGAGGAGUACAACGAUGAAACGAGUUACAUAAUGAUGCCCAGCUCUUGAUUCUUUCCUGCUUUAAUGAAGAUGAUAACUUCCAAGUGGAUCAUCAUGGACGGACCAGUCACAAGAUAAUGCUAAGGAUGGACUAACUAGAGACAAAUCAAGAGCAUUGGGACGCCAAGUCAGAGAGCCUACAGUAGUAGGACGACCAUCAUUCAGAAUCACAAGAUUGUUAUCCUCAAUAACUUCUAGAAUAUCUCUACCUCGUGGUGCAGUAGAAUUGCAACCCCAUGAGAUGUGAUGGGCAUUGAAGUCACCAGCAAAAACCAUUGGCUCCGGAAUAGAUUUAAUUAAUGUAUCAAAUUUUUUUUUGUUGAAGACAGGAGUACAAUUAGUAGGGCUGUAGAAACUAAUUAUGCUUAUUUCUUUAUUACCUAUAGAAAUGCGAACACCGAUAUUUUGCAUAGAAUUAUCAAAUUUUGUUACCAACCUAGAGUAAGUAAUACUAUUAUGAAGUAAAAUAGCUACACCGUUAUGCUUAUUACCUGUAUCAUUCCUCUCAACUCUGUACCCUCGAAUAUAAAAAUUUUGAUGUGGCUUUAGCCAGGUCUCAGAAAUAAUAGCUAUGUGAAUAUUGUUGUUAUAUAGAAAAUUGGUUAAUGCUAAUCUAUUACUGACUAAACUCUGUGCAUUCCAUUGCAUAAUAUUUAUUAUGUUAUCCAUAAAUAUUAUGACAAAUAAAUGAGAAUAGUU